UGGGUAAAGUAAGAGGAGGCUUUAUAUAAUAUCUUACGCACAUUUGAAGCAUGAUGGCUGCCGGAUAUAGAUACAUUGUAAUUUGUCCCAAAUGUAUCAGCUUGCUUUUAUUCAUUUCUUACAUUUUUCACUGAGAAGGAUGUAUUCUGAAACAUUUUGCAUUCGAGACCAUUGGAAGAAACGGCUUGAAUUAUAUGGUUGGAGAAAACAAAAUUAGCCAUUUGGAUUUGACUCUGGGCUCGUCUUAUCCAAUCCAACAGGUAAUGAACUACGUCUGAGGCUAUAGAAACAAGAGGAAGUUAUAGAGGGAUGGAGAGAGGGGGCAGAUAAGGGGUGCUGUGGACGGGAGCGAUACAGGGAAAAAAUCCCAUUCCUCCACAUCAAAGAGUAGGACAUGAACGAAGAACAAACAUUUUUAAAUGGGUAGGGGAUGCAUACAAUGACUGAAGAGCUCAAACUGGAACACUUGUGACCCCCCUGUCAUCCCCACUGUUCCCCCUCCUCUACCUCCAGACCAUAUCUGAUGAGGGAGGGACAAGACGCCUGGUUUCUGAACCUCUUGUCAAGACAAUGAGAAACAUACAAAGACCUCCUGCAAUGUGAAACGGAUCCAGGGGUUUAUGGUAUGGGGGCUUUAAUAGUAAUUGAAUCAAGGUUGCAGGCAGAGAGAGUAGCAUUGAGGCUGCCCAAGGCCCGAGCAUAAAUCUCAUUAUCGAUACUUCAAUAGGAAGAGAGGGACAUCAGGGUCACUUCAUUAACAACCGUCAACCACAUGGAGAACAUUUGGCUGGAACGCUGUUGAACCCAAUGCUGUUGCUUCCUGACAACGAAAAGCAUUAACGAAGGGAAUUGGGCCCUGGAGGGGCAGGAGGGUUUGAGGAAAUCCACCAGGGUUCGCACUCACAACCUCGCCUCAGUGUUAAGGGAACCGACGUACAAGUCCUUCAAUUAUCCGUAAGACGGUUAACACUGAGCAGUGGUCAGCUGCACCAUGAGCUCAUCCGAUCUGCCGAUCUUCUUUUUGUUUAUAACUUAUUAGUUCCAAUGUACUACAACACAAGGCGAGACAAAUUGGGGUCGCUAAGGUCUGGAAGUUUAGCAAGAAUGGAAUACUUCUCGCCGAGUGAGAAGUCUCCUCAAAUUCAUGCAGGCAUUUAUUUUAAAUAGCACUCGGAUCAAAAUGCAAUAAGAUCAAGGUCUAUUUUAUUUAUAUUGUAAAUGAAAAAUACCUUCCUGAAUUGAUAACGAUUCUCCCCGAGAGCUGGGCCUGCUUUCUCUUUGCAAAGACUUGACAAAUGUCCGCGCGUGACACCGACAAUUAAAAAACUUGAACCAUACAUACACAAGCACAAUUACAAGAAACGCUGCUUACAAUGUAAUAGUUUAUUUCUGGUUCCAAACACAAUAUGUAACUGUUGAAAUGUUUACUUGUCUUGUCCUCAUUGACACAAAUUAUUGAUCAUAAUGCGUAGAAAACGGAGGAGGUAUACAACCAACGUACUAGGCUACUCGUUUACAGCACGGUCAUUUCACCAUGCUUGUUAACAUAGCGGCGAGAUAGAAACAACCAAUAUGCCUUCAUUGGAAAUGUAACAUGCCUUAAAUCUGAAAAUGUUGAUUUGGGAUUAACAAAGGCCAUAUAUAAUGUUUUUCAGGGGCUUAUGCUGAAAUGAAAAUAAACGACUUCUUAAAUAAUUGUAAAUAUCUUAUGCGUUCAGAUUCGUUAAUAGGCUGCUGAUGGAUUAAACUCAUUAGGCUAUACAUUUCACUGAGCCCUCACUGGUUUAAGCAUUCAUCUGCUCGAAGUUCUGCAUUUGCAAUGACCAACCGCUACAUGUCCAUAAUCGAAACUCAUCUUGAAAUAAUUGAUAACACCCAUAUCAAAAAAUGAAUCCUCUUUCGAGUCUGAAAAUAUGUGUAACACACAUUAUUGCUUUACCUUUUAUUCAGAAAACAAAUAACACCUACAUUGAUGAUAUACAUUUACAGAAAAAGCCAACUGUAUUCAUGGAUGCGCAAUAAGCAAAUCAAUCGGAAAGAUAUCUGAGUCCAAGCUGAGAAACAUCCUUCUUCAUACACAAACAUCUACACGAUGUUCACAAAAAUUUUAAUUACUUUUUUCCGUAUAUGAGAACAGCAACAGUUCGUAAAGUACCUUCUUGCACAAGAAGCAUUAUUGAUUGCCAUUCCCCGAAAGAGGAACAAAACACCAUAGUAGUUAAGCGGCCAGAGGGGAAAAACGACUUCGUGAAUGCAUUUUCUACUAAGGUAAAAACGGACGGAUAAAAUGCUUCAUGAAAAAGCAAUUUCUUUCCAAUUUCACAUUUGA
rnacentral:lncRNA from 13 species